rnacentral:rRNA from 1 species
UACGUAGGAGGCAAGCGUUGUCCGGAAUUACUGGGCGUAAAGCGCGCGCAGGUGGUUUCUUAAGUCUGAUGUGAAAGCCCACGGCUCAACCGUGGAGGGUCAUUGGAAACUGGGGAACUUGAGUGCAGGAGAGAAGAGUGGAAUUCCACGUGUAGCGGUGAAAUGCGUAGAGAUGUGGAGGAACACCAGUGGCGAAGGCGGCUCACUGGGCAACAACUGACGCUGAGGAGCGAAAGCGUGGGGAGCGAACAGG